rnacentral:tRNA from 1 species
GGGCGUAUAGCUCAGUUGGUUAGAGCGCUACACUCACAUUGUAGAGGUCAUAGGUUCAAGUCCUAUUACGCCCA